GACGAACGCUGGCGGCGUGCUUAACACAUGCAAGUCACGGGGGCCCGCAAGGGCAACCGGCGAACGGGUGCGUAACACGUGAACAACCUGCCCUCGUGUGGGGGAUAGCCGGGCUAACGCCCGGGUAAUACCGCAUACGGUCAUCGGGAGGAGUCUCCUGGUGAAGAAAGCUCCGGCGCACGGGGAGGGGUUCGCGGCCUAUCAGCUAGUUGGUGCGGUAACGGCGCACCAAGGCGACGACGGGUAGCNGGUCUGAGAGGAUGGCCAGCCACAUUGGGACUGAGAGACGGCCCAGACUCCUACGGGAGGCAGCAGUGGGGAAUCUUGCGCAAUGGCCGAAAGGCUGACGCAGCGACGCCGCGUGUGGGAGGACGCC
rnacentral:rRNA from 1 species